ensembl:snoRNA
GAAGAAGCAAAGUGAUGAGUAAUACUUGCAUGAGCCGAAGUGAGCGAGCUGUGUGCGUGUGCGGUUGUGUGAUGGUUGUUUGUGAGAAUUGUGUGCCUUAUAAUUGGGCUGUGAUAGCUAAACUGAUAAGAUCUGAUUGCUUC